rnacentral:rRNA from 1 species
AUUGAACGCUGGCGGAAUGCUUUACACAUGCAAGUCGAACGGUAGAGGGGGCAACCCCUUGAGAGUGGCGAACGGGUGAGUAAUAUAUCGGAACGUGCCCAGUCGUGGGGAUAACGUAGCGAAAGUUACGCUAAUACCGCAUACGAUCUACGGACUGAAAGCGGGGGACUCGCAAGAGCCUCGCGCGAUUGGAGCGGCCGAUAUCAGAUUAGGUAGUUGGUGGGGUAAAGGCUCACCAAGCCAACGAUCUGUAGCUGGUCUGAGAGGACGACCAGCCACACUGGAACUGAGACACGGUCCAGACUCCUACGGGAGGCAGCAGUGGGGAAUUUUGGACAA